rnacentral:misc_RNA from 1 species
CGCCUGGGCGCCUCUCACGCCUUUGAUAACAUUGGUAGAAAGUUGAUGAAAUCUUUUUUUUAAGUACGCAUGCAUGUCUUAGGAGAUAGGUUUUUGUGAUAUUUUUAGAGUAUAGAGUAAUAUUUUCAUAGACUAGAGGAAAAACCAUUUAUUUAUUAUUAAUAUUUUCAUAUGAAUUUAUUGUGUAAUAUUUAUUUUGUUGUUCUAAUACUUGACUAGGUUAUAGGUAAUCCAAAAAUAGUAGGGA